AUGGUUGAAACUAAGAAAAAUCUGGUAUUUUCAUUGGUAUACAAACUUAUUGAGUUGGCUUUGAUAUUGCCGGUGUCAACUGCAUCUGUUGAGAGAGCAUUUGCAAUGAAUAUUAUCAAGAAUAAAUUGUGUAGCAAGAUCAACAACGAAUGGUUCAACGACUUGAUGAUAUGUUACACCGAGCAGGAGUUAUUCAAGUCAGUUGAUGAUAAAGAUAUUAUUCGAACAUUUACAGCAAUGAAGUCUCGGAAAGGACAUUUGCCUCGUGAUUUUCUUUAG
rnacentral:rRNA from 1 species